AUGACCUCGAACUCCCUCCCGCUCCUCGCCCUCCUGGCCCUGCUGGCCCUGCCAGGGCUCCGGGCGGUCGUGACCCUGCUGGAGUGCGGGGGGGACCUCCAGCCCCCCGGGGGGUCCCUGACUCUGCUCUGCCGUGGCUCUGGGUUCACGUUUGGGAGUUUUGGCAUGUACUGGGUCCGCCAGAGCCCCGGGAAGGCACUGGAAUACGUCGCAGGGAUUGACAAUGAUGGCAGCACCUACUACGCGCCGUCCGUCAAGGGCCGGUUCACGAUCUCCAGGGACAACGGGCAGAGCUCGGUGACGCUGACCAUGAACAGCCUCAAGGACGAGGAUUCCGCCGUUUAUUUCUGCGCCAAAAUGGGUGGUGCUGGUUGGGGUGCUGGUGCUGGUGCUAUUGACGCCUGGGGCAGCGGCACCACCGUCACCGUCUCCAGCGGGCGCGUUUCCGACCCCGCCGUGUUCCCGCUCUCCCCCUGCUCUUCCUCCUCCUCCUCCUCCUCCUCCUCGCCCUCCUCGUUCUCCGUCGGCUGCGUCGCCGUCGGCUUCGCGCCGGCGCCGCUGGGAUUCGCCUGGAGCGACCGGGAGAACCGGAGCGCGGCGGGCGCGGCGUUCCCGGCGGUGCCGGGCGCUUCCGGAACGUUCCUGGCGGCGUCGCGCCUGGGGAUGGCGGCGGAGGAGGGGAAGGCGCGGCAGCCGUUCCGGUGCCGGGCGCGGGGGGCGCGGGCGGAGAGGAGCGCCGAGGUCAGCAAUCCUGACUCCCCGCGCAUCCCCAUCCCCACCGAGCUCACCCUCCACCCGCCGGCCCGCGAGGAUUUCCAAGGCCCCUUCCGGAACUCCACCCUCCUGUGCCGCCUCCGCGGGCCCCGGCGCGGCCCCGGCGCCGCCCCCAUCCGAUGGCUCCGAAACGGCGCCGAGCUCCGCGACGGCGUCACCGCCGAGCCCCCCGCCGCGGAACCUUCCGGGGCCUUCGUCACCGGCAGUCGGUUGGUGGUGACCGAGUCCGAGUGGGACCGCGGCGACGUCUUCACGUGCCAGGCGGACGAGGAGAUGAGGAACACCAGCAAGGCCAUGGAGUGCGGAUAUGACCAACCCCUGGCCGCCGGCGAAAUCCGCGUGGAGCCGGUGCCGCCGCUCUUCGCCGACAUCUUCCGCGACCAGGCCGCGCGCCUGACCUGCCGCGUGUCCAACCUGCCGCCCGGCGUCGAGGGCCUGGACGUCGCGUGGCUCAAGGAGGACGGCGAGCCCUUGGCCACCAAGACGUCGGCGCCGUCCCUGCAGGCCAACGGGCUCCUGGCGGCCGAGGGCGUGGCCACGGUGAGCGUCGAGGCCUGGGAGUCCGGCCAGACCUUCACGUGCCGCGUCCUCCACCCCGAGCUGCUCUUCCCCCGAGAGGUCACCAUGAGGAAGACGACGUCCCCGGACGCGUCCCCGCCCUCCCUGUACCUCCUCCCCCCGCCCCCGGAACAACUCCGCGCCCGCACCUGGGCCACCCUCACCUGCCUCCUCCGCGACUUCAACCCGCCCGACGUCCUCGUCCAGUGGCUCCAAGAUGGCCGACCCCUCCCUCAAAACCGCGCCCUCACCUUCCGGCCCCGCCCCGACACCGGCCACGCCCCUUCCGGCCACGCCCACCUGGCGCUGAGCGCCCUGACGGUGCCGUGGCGGGAUUGGGACGCCGGGAGCGUCUUCACCUGCCUGGUCGGGCACGAGCGGCUCCCGCUGCGGCUGGCGCAGAAAUCGCUCGACAAAUCCGCGGGUAACGCCGGCGCCGUCAACGUCUCCGUGGUUUUCAGUGAUUCCCUCGCCGCGUGUUAUUGA